CUUGUCUCAAAGAUUAAGCCAUGCAUGUCUAAGUACAGACCGAAUUACACGGUGAAACCGCGAAUGGCUCAUUAAAUCAGUUAUGGUUCAUUGGAUCUUACCCAAGUUACUUGGAUAACUGUGGUAAUUCUAGAGCUAAUACAUGCAACCAAGCUCCGACCGCAAGGGAAGGGCGCUUUUAUUAGAUCAAAACCAAUCGGGCCUCGGUCCGUUCCCAAUGUGAUGACUCUGAAUAACUUUGUGCUGAGCGUACGGUCUACGCGCCGACGCCGCAUCUUUCAAGUGUCUGCCUUAUCAGCUUUCGAUUGUAGGUUAUGCGCCUACAAUGGCUAUAACGGGUAACGGGGAAUCAGGGUUCGAUUCCGGAGAGGGAGCCUGAGAAACGGCUACCACAUCUAAGGAAGGCAGCAGGCACGCAAAUUACCCACUCCCAGCACGGGGAGGUAGUGACGAAAAAUAACGAUGCGGGACUCUUCCGAGGCUUCGCAAUCGGAAUGAGUUCACUUUAAAUCCUUGUACGAGGAUCUAUUGGAGGGCAAGUCUGGUGCCAGCAGCCGCGGUAAUUCCAGCUCCAAUAGCGUAUAUUAAAGUUGUUGCGGUUAAAAAGCUCGUAGUUGGACUUCAGUUCUGGGACGACGGUGCGCCUUUGGCGAUUUACUGUCGGCCCGAACAGCAAGUCGGCUUGCACGGGGUGCUCUUCAUCGAGUGUCCCGCGUGGCCAACAUGUUUACUUUGAAAAAAUUAGAGUGCUCAAAGCAGGCCAUUGCCUGAAUAGUUGUGCAUGGAAUGAUGGAAUAGGACCUCGGUUCUAUUUUGUUGGUUUUAAGAACCCGAGGUAAUGAUUAAUAGAGACGGACGGGGGCAUUCGUAUUGCGACGCUAGAGGUGAAAUUCUUGGACCGUCGCAAGACG
rnacentral:rRNA from 1 species